UGGACCGUGCUCGGCUCGCUUCCCCUGGCAGUAGUCGGCGGAAGCGAGGCGGUGGAGUGGGACAACGGUGACCCGAUCGCGUGCAAGGAGCCCCCGCGGCCGCUGCGGUUCGAGAGCACGAAUCUUGAGGUGGUGCUGUGGGUGGACGGCCGCGUGCUGGCCGUGGACCUCGACAGCCGCCGGGUGAGGGAGGUCCGGUUCAAUGGGCCGGCUCCGGGUCACGACGAAGACUACGUGUCUUACAUCAGCACCGUUGCUCCCGUGGCUCCCGUGGCGUCCGGCUAACGGACGGUGACGCUUCCAUCCCCCGUGAACAUAUGCACUACUUUUAAUACUCGAUAUGACUAUUGAUGCCAUGAAUAAUGUGACAUUUGGGAUACUCGUAUUAUGAAACACUCGCGUGUUGAUCAUUGCUCUAAUCAAUUGCUGUGACAAAUAACAUGAUUCCUUCCGUCUUUUAUAAAUGUUUUUUCUUGGUUGGAGUGUUGUUUUCUUUGUCUAUCGUGAAGAUUGUUGGGUCCACAUGAUGGCAGCUUCCGCUUGUGUUUGAGUGCUCGGCUUCUUCUCUUUCGUGAUAAAGAACCGACUUGGAAUCUCUAAUCUCGCUGAUGAAUCAGAUUCUUGAUGAUGGGCUGAUCCACGUGUUUGUACUCUUCUGCCCAUUCCGUAUAGGAAACGUCUUUUGCUCGGAGCAUCGAAUAUAAAUGGAAUAAAUAAUUAUGCUUAUUAUUUUUAAAAAUUAUAUUAAAAUCUUUAUAUUUACAAAAAUAAAAUAUUUAAUUUCGUACUCUAAUAAAAUUUAUUUUUUUUAAUUUUUAAUUAUGUAAAAUUAUCUUUGUAUAGAUAUCUCAAUAUUUUUAAUCAAUUAUGUAAAAUUAUCUUUCGAUCGUAAUAUAAUUUUUAAAAAUAUAAAAAAUCAAAAUAUUAAAAAUAAUUAAUUAUAGAGAAUAAUAUAUAAUUAGUUAUCGUUCUUUUGUCGAAGCCUAUUUACAUAAAUCACAAUUUAAUUUCUAAUUUCAAUUUUAUGAGUUAAAUAUUAAAUUUUAUUUACACAUACUAUUAACUUUAAUAUUUAAAAUAUUGGUUGAUGAUCAAAUUAAUUUAACCUGUCUUGGAAAGAAAAUUAGCUUUCAAAUUAGGCCUCCCCGAUGGGCUCUUAGUGUCAGGAGUCUCGAGUUGGACGAAGACAUAAGACAUAAAAUUCCUAUUCGAGAUCCUAACUUAAGUGUUUUUUUGGACUAAUGUUACAUAUGCACAAAUAAUAACUAUCCCUUCGAGGAUUUGUUUAUAGAGGAUUCAAUUUAGGUAAAUCAUUUGUGUCAAUUAGGAUAAAUUUUUUUAAGAUGAUACAUAAUCAAAAGGAUAUUUGUAGUUUUGAUUUGGGGCCAAAGUGACAGUGAGAUUGGCUCAUUUUGUGGAGACGACUUAUUAGAAUCUCCCAAUUCACUUGAUAAAUUCUCUCACCUUCUUCUUGCAUAUUUUAAAUUUAAUUUCUUCUCACAUACAUUUACUAUAAAAUAUAUUUACGCACAGUUACGAUGUGAAUUCGUUUUUUUUUCUUUUUUCUUUUGAGAAAAUAAAUUAGAUUUAGAAGAAGGAUAAUAAAAAGGGAAUGGAAUGGUGCGCGACGGGACAAGCAGUAGAAGCCCGGACAAGCAGCGAUGGAGGCGAAGGGCCGUGAUGGCCCCCCAGCUUCGGCAAGCGUCGACGCGGCGGUGGCGGCGGCCGCAGCGGCGCCGUUACUCAUGGCCGAAACCCUAGCUGAAGCUCCCCGGAGGAGAGCCAGCGGUUCUAAGAGGAAAGCCUCGGCCUCAUCGUCCUCCACCCCCGUGAAGCGCCAGGCCAAGGAGAGAAACCUUCUCCACCACCUCUUCCCCGUCCAUAACGGUCCCUGCACCCGAGCUCGGCAAUCCCCCCACAAGCACGCGGCUGCCUCCCAUAGGUCUGUGGAGCAUGCGGCGGCCUCCGCGUGGGCGUCGGAGGCUAGAGGCACGGACGCUUCCGCCUCGGGAGGCCCGAUCAAAGCGGAGGAAGAGGAGGAGGUCGAGGAGCCGCUCGUGGAUGUGGAGUUUGAGGCCGUUCGAUCUAGAGGUGUCGACGUUCAUGCCGUCCCUACGGCUGCCGGUGAGCUCUCUGACCAAAAUUGGGAUCUUGGUGACAAGGAAACCUUCGUAAUUGGUAUUAGGUAUUCUGUCCACUGCUAAUUUUGUUUAUUUUUCUUGCUUGUUUGAACUAGGGUUUCUUCUUUUUUCCCAAUUUGAAUUGUACUAGGUAGGAGAGAAUGCUUCUUCUUUCAAAGCAUGAUCUUUGUAUGCAGUUUAAUUACGUCGAAGAUGGUGGAGAACUAACUUGAUUCAUUAAGAACAGUAUUUUAUAUUCGGGAUCAAAUCCUAAUGGGGAACCGCUUUUUCUUAAUGAACUGUUUGUAUCAGGAAAGACUAGGCAUUUUAGUGUAUAUGCGAAAUGAUUUCCAUAUCAUCUGGUUCUUGUAGGCUGGUUCUCAUGGAAAGUGAUCCACCCCGUUGAGAAGCAUAUGCUGCCCUCAUUUUUCAGUGGAAAGUCUGAGAACCGGACACCUGAAGUGUACAUGGAAAUUCGGAAUUCUAUCAUUAAGAAAUUUCAUUCUGACCCACAGACACAGGUGGAACUCAAAGAUUUCUCAGAGUUGUCUGUUGGAGAUAUGGAUGCAAGACAAGAAAUCUUGGAAUUCUUGGACCAUUGGGGUCUUAUAAAUUUCCAUCCUUUUCCCCCGUCUGAGAACGAAGCAAGCAAAUCUGAUGCCGAUGACAGAGAUAAAACUUCAACUUUGGUCGAUAAGAUGUAUCAGUUUGAAACAAUUCAGUCAUUUCCCCGUCUUGCUACGAAGAAAGAAGAGUCCUUGGUACCUGCGGUGCCCCCUUGCUUGCUUCCGGAGUCUGCCCUUCUUGAUGAUUUGAUUAGGCCAGUUGGUCCUUCUGUUGAGUACCACUGCAACUCCUGCUCAGCUGAUUGCUCUAGAAAGCGCUUCCAUUGCCAAAAGCAGGUUAGUUGGUCUCCUACGCUGGUUAAUAUUGGCUAUCAAGUGUGUAUGCCACUUCAACAAUGUCUGACAGUCUUUUCUUUUUGUGUCAAUACACGGAGCCAUGCAGUCCAAAAUUAUUUAUAUUACUCUCUCAAAUUCUUAAAUUGAUGGCUGAUGGCAAUAUCUUUGUUGUUCUUUUAACCCACCAAAGUGUAUAGCUAUUUUUGUUUAUUCAUAUCCUUAAAUUUUUCUCAUCAAAUUCAAAAUCAUGAUUUUACUUUUUUUAGGAUACAUGAUCUUAGUAAACGAUAAUGGUCAGGUUGUCUUUCUUGUCUAUGGUAAAUAUUUUGUUGAGUUGCAGCAAACUAGGAAAGUAGACUUCCUAGUUACUUUUGUCCAUCAAUUCAUUAUUUUUAUUGAGUUCUUCAUUCAGAAACAAAAAUUAUUAUAGCUUCUUAUUGAAAAAGGUAAAUGGAUCAUGGAUUUGGAAGCAGAGGUUGUGUGAGUCUAACUUCCUAAUGCUACUUAAUUGAAGAUAUGUU
rnacentral:lncRNA from 1 species